rnacentral:rRNA from 1 species
GUGUGGUUUAGCGGAGUGUGUGGUUUAGCGGAGGCCGUGUGGUUUAAUUCGAUGUUACACGAAGAACCUUACCUGGGUUUGACAUGCAAGUGGUAGGGAACUGAAAGGGGACCGACCCUUCGGGGAGCUUGCACAGGUGCUGCAUGGCUGUCGUCAGCUCGUGUCGUGAGAUGUCCGGUUAAGUCCGGUAACGAGCGCAACCCCUACUGUAUGUUACAAGUGUCAUACGGGACUGCCGGUAUAAAGCCGGAGGAAGGUGGGGAUGACGUCAAGUCAGCAUGGCCUUUAUGCCCAGGGCUACACNCACGCUACAAUGGUCANGACAAUGGGUAGCAAAGCCGCGAGGUGGAGCCAAUCCCCAAACUUGGCCACAGUUCANAUUGCAGGCUGCAACCCGCCUGCAUGAAGCUGGAGUUGCU